rnacentral:tRNA from 1 species
AAUUUAAAUGGUGUAAAAAAACACAUAACAUUUUCGCUGUUAAUUUCCUUUUGGUUUAAAUUA